rnacentral:lncRNA from 1 species
AUUCGUCUAGGAAUCCAUCUUCAAUUAGGACUCCUACAUUGAUUAGGAAUCCUUCUUCAUUUAGGAAUCCUUCGUUUAAGCCCUUUCCUACUUCAACUAGGAAACUUUGUAUAUUCAAUUCUUCAACUUUGAAACACCUUCCUAGCUUCAUCAAUUCCUCAAAUUCGUCCAUCCCUUGUGCUUCAUGUGCAUGAACUCCAUUCUAGCCCAAUUUUGCUCCAAAAUGCUCCAAAUUGCAUCCUUUUGCUCACUUUGUCUCUAAAACCUGAAAACACAUGAAAAUAGCUUAAAAGACUAAUUUAACCAAGAAAACACAACAUAAAUGCAUAAGAACUAACUAACUAAGGCGCAUAAAUAUGCUCCUAUCAAAUUCCCCCACACUUAGCUUUUGCUAGUCCUCGAGCAAAACAAAACGAGUAAACACAACCUAAACCUUCCAACAAUCGCCUCAGGGAUUUCCAAUGCACAUGACAUGUUAAAAAUCAUCAUUCCCACAGAUUUUAGCCAUCUUUACGCUUAAGCACAUACUUAAUCAUAGUCACUACUUAUUAGUUCACAAAUAACCAAUUAAAACGAUGUUUUGAAUGUAGUAACAUGCCUUAGAGAAUUUGCUCAAUUCCUUACUAGAUAUGCACUCAAUUUUCACACAGAAUUUCUGACUACACACCCUAUACUGGUUAUAUGUGAGAAGAUUGAUGUAAAUAUGAAAACGAAUGCUCACAUAUAUGUAUGACAAAGGAAGCACUUUCCGGAGUUAACAACAUGUUUAAAUAUGAUCUCAUGAAUGGAAUGCUACUACUUAGAUGCGAGAUCCAGGGAUAUCAUAUGCUCAUACCAAUUCCAAACUCCACAUAUUGAAACACAUAACAAUCAAGAUGGAAGCAAAGGGUUGUAACGGGGCUAAGGUAUUGGCUAACAAAGAAAGGUAAGGAUAAACAAACAUUCUUAAAGAAUAAUAAGCAAAGUAAUGAAAUUGAUACUUAGAAAUCACUUUUGCAUGCAAAAAAAAAAACGAUUUUGAAACACAAGGGGAAGACUCAUGCAACACUUAGGGCCAAAUUCAAGCUUUUUGGACCCUUUCUUCAACAACCAACCCACUUAGAGCUUAUUUUCUCAUCUUUUUCAACUCUUUCUCAUACUUUUCACAUUGUUUUCUUCAUUUUUUCUUUUUCUACGAAUUUGUCUCUUUUCUUUUUCUAACCCGUGCCCUUCUACUUCUUUUGGCACACAAAAUUUUCCUUCCCCCACACUUAGUUUUCUGCACAAUGUUGAUCAAAAGGAAUUCCCUCUAAGUCAUGCUUUAUUAUCCUUUAAGAACACGGGUAUGGAUAGUCCUAAUCUAGGCUAGGUAAGGAUAAUGUGGCUAACAACAAAAUAGGCUAAAUAAGGUUCAAAGGGGCUAAUCCUACAAAAACAAAUGCAUGGGUUGAAGGCUUUUUGGCUCUGGUGAUAACUACUAAGCAACUUCAUCUUGUUAGUUAUGCUAAUCAAUUUUUAUGCUUUGAAUGAAAUAGGUAUGAGUUCUAAUAUUUGGAUCUAUAAUGAUGACACGCCUUCUAAGUAGCAACCAAGCAAAGAAUGAUGAGAUCAUGCAACGACUUUAGAAAACAACAAAUUCACAGAUUAUUAACUCUCCAAAUAAACGUUUAGGCUCAAGUCUCACAGGGUUGUAGCGUUUGUUUGAGUUCCUUCCUUCAAGCAUGUUACAAAAACUGAUUUUUUUCUUUAUGAUUACAUGUGAAGUCAUAAGUUAUAACCACAACCAAGCAUAAACCAAAGAGUAAAUCAAACUUUCAUCCAUGUUUAUAACUCUCUUUAACAAUCAUGCAAUUACAAACCGAAUCCUCAUCAUUGUGUUGGAAGGUACCCUAAGACACAAACAAACACACAAAAACAACUUUAAACCGACUCUUUUUGGGUUUUUUCAAAACUUUUUCUAGUUUUUUGUCUAAAAACACUUAAAAACAAUGAAAAACAACCUUUGAAAUGUUAGGUGGUAAAAUCCUACGAAUUUGACACAAAAACACUUUGUUUACCCUCCCACACUUAAACCAAACAUUGUCCUCAAUGUUUCAAACAUAGACUCACACAAGAACAAGCAAAUAUCACAACUAGCAAACAUGACAAAUAUGGCAAAGUAAAAGCAAUAAAGAGUAGGGUUUAGAAACGCAAAUCUGAUUAUGACGCCGGAGCUUCCUAGGUCCUCUUUAUUUGCAUGGGUUGCCUCCCAAGAAGCGCUUGCUUUAACGUCUUCCAGCCGGACGAUGCUCCAUUGAAGGUUUAUGGAACCCCACAGCAUGGAGGGGUGUUUCCACAACCUGACCUACGAAAUACUUCAUUCUUUGGGUCCUUGAAUGGGAUGGGAUAAUGAUCCUUUCUAUUUGUCAUGUUUUGCUUCUCUAAAUCAACACGAACUCUCCCACUACGUUGUCUUCGAUUUGGUACCUGCACCAUACAAGGUAACAACCUAUUAGUUGAAAUGGGAAUCGAAAAUUGAAUAGGUGGCUUACCUUUGUACGGCAAAGAAGUGGUAGCACUAUGGACAAAUGCACAAGGGUUGCACUUGGGCAGAUUUGAUGAUUUCAAGGUUGGGGCCGUGCACUCUUUGUUGUUCACUCCGAUUCCUUCCUCGAUGGUGGGUUGUGGUACAUUCUUGUUGACUAGUGUUGAACAUUCCUGCCCUAUAUUAUCAAUUACAUUAAUAGCACAACAAGAACGAACAUCAUUAGUAUUCUCAACCGAUUCAGAAACCUUAAAGUUAAUCAUAUCACCACCAAAGGCCAUAGUUACUGCUCCCUUGGCCACGUCAAUCUUGGUUUGAGCUGUUUUCAUGAAAGGACGUCCAAGUAAGAGUGGUGAUGAUGGAGAUUGUACCGAAUCUUCCAUGUCAAGCACAUAAAAAUCUGCAGGAAAAAUCAAAUGGUCUACCUGCACUAAAACAUCCUCCAAAACUCCUUUCGGAUAUGCAUUAGAUCGAUCGGCUAAUUGAAUAAUAACACCAUCAUGUUUAAGCUCCCCUAGAUUCAUCGAUGCAUAAACAGAAUAUGGCAUGACAUUGAUUGAUGCACCUAAAUCUAGCAUAGCAUGAUCAAACCUCGCAUUGCCAAUAACACAAGGGAUAGUGAAACUACCUGGAUCUUUGCAUUUAGGUGGUAACUUUCUUUGCAACAAUGCAGAUACAUUCUCACUUACGUGUACCACCUCUUUCUCCCGAAUCCGAUUCCUUGUUGUGCAAAGCUUCUUCAAGAACUUAGCAUAUUUCGGGAUUUGCUUUAUUGCAUCGAGGAGUGGGAUGUUGACAUGCACCUUCCUAAACGUCUCCAGAAUGUCUUUUUCCUCCUCGUCGUUCUGGCUUGCAUCAACCUGCUAGGAAAGGGCACGUUUAGUGGAAUAGAACUUGAUUGGGUCGAAUUAUGACUUACCUUAGGUGUAGGACACGGCAAAGGUGCAAUAGGAGGCUGCGGCAUUGUUUUCUCCUUCCUUGCCGUGGUUGAGGUUUGGGGUUCUUCCUCAAACAGUAGCUUUUCAUCCUCUUUUUGACUUGAAUUGGAUGCUUGGGGUUCGGUUCCAACUUGUUUGCCACUCCUUAAUGUAAUUGCUUUGGCGGUUUCGAAUCCCCCUUUUGGAUUUGCAACGGUUGAACUAGGGAGUCUUCCUUGGUCUCGAAACUGUCCUACAAACUCCGCAAUUUGCCCAAUUUGUUUUUCCAAGUGAUCCACCCUUUUAGCUUGGCUUUGCAAUGCUGCGGCUUGAUUCUCUUGCCCCUGAGACAAAGUGUUAAGUAAUUUAAGAAUUGCAUCAUUAUCCAAGGACGUACCUGAAUUUGUUGGGGCAGAAUGUAUUUGAGUUUGAUUUGGUGCGAAUGGCUUUUGAUAGAAACCCGGGGGUUGUUGCCGAAAUGUGUUUUGUUGUUGGCCUUGUUGGGGUUCCCGCCAUUUGAAAUUCGGAUGAUCACGCCAACCGGGAUUGUAGUUGUUAGAAAAGGGAUCAUUCCUUUGUUGGUAUUGCUGCCCAAAGCCCACGGCAUUGAGGGUCUCCCACCCUCCGUUCUCGAUCAAUUGUGGGCAUGUGUCCGUAGGGUGUCCUUGCAUGGAACAUACGCCACACGCACUUACAUUUUGAACUUUUGGCCCUUCCACAACCUGAGAAAGCAAAGUAGUAAGGUUAGCCAUUUGGUUUUGAAGUUCGGUUAUGGCACUUACCUCGUUCACUUGGUGUUGCCGUGGGGUGCCUCUUUGGCCAACACCUUCGUAUUGUUGAGCGUUCAACGCUCGAUUAGCAAUCAAAGUCUUUGCUGCCGUGGGAGUCUUGUCCACCAAAGCUCCUCCCGCCGAGGCAUCUAGCAUUUGUCUUUCGAUUGGUAGAAGUCCCUCGUAGAAGUAUUGUAGAAGAAGCUCCUCCUUCAUUUGAUGCUGUGGACAAGAAGCAACAAGAGAUUUAAAACGUUCAUAAUAUGUAGGAAAAGACUCACCUUCUUCUUGUUGAAUUCCACUUAUCCUUUUUCGUAGGAGGAUGACUCGAGAAGUUGGGAAAAACUUCUCCAAGAAAGCUCGUUUCAUGCUCUCCCAAGAUGUGACCGUUCCGGGAGCUAAUUCGUACAACCAAUCUUUCGCCUUUUCCAUGAGAGAAAAGGGAAAGGCCUUCAUCUUCAAUAUACUCCCGUCGACAUUGAUUGGAGUCAUGCUUGAACACACCACCUCGAACUCUUUCAAGUGCUUGUUAGGAUCCUCCAUGGACAACCCAUGGUACUUCGGAAUAUGGUGUAGCAAACUUGACUUUAACUCGAAUUCCUCGGUCUUUCCUUGGGCAGCCGCCGGAUAUUGAAUACAUAGAGGUGCGGCAUUGUCUAAUCCCGAAGCCGAGAGCUCCUUGAUUGUACGAUUGUCUUGUGCCAUGACUGUCUCAACUUCACCCACUUGUGCCGUGGGUUCCUCUUCCUCAAUCUCAACUUCGGCUUCCGAAUUUGAACUUGAUUCACUAGGUUCUGGAUUCUUCCUCUUUCGUCUCAACUCUCGUUCAAAAUCGUCGUCAAAGUCCAAGAUGUGUUCAUGAACCGGAUGAGAGCUCCGAGUCAUAAACUAGUACCUAAAAACAAUAAACAAAAACAAAGUAAGAAUCUGGACACAAAUAAAACAAAUUGAAAUAAAACAAUCCAAGGGAUUAGCAACUUUGCUAAUCCCCGGCAACGGCGCCAAAAUUUGAUGUGAAAAUUAUGUUGACACACAAAUUAACCCUCUUUUUAUCGAUUGUAGUAAGUAUGUAAGUAGGGAUCGUUCUAGGCCGGGGAUUAGGAGGGAUUGCUAAAUCACUUGAAAACUGACUCAAAUACGUAAAAACAAGUUUAAAACACUAAACUAGACUCAAAGAAUGCAAAACUAAACUUUAAAACACCAAAACAAACAAAAAGACUCAAAACAGCAAACAAACACUCAAAACUGCCUUAAAACACUUUCUGGGUAGUUUCUGACACUCAGGAAGAAUUUGGACGAAAAUUGAUUAUAACUUGACUCAAGACACUUAAAAACACAAACUAAAUUGAUUUCUAACUAGUAUGACUCAACAAAGAAAAGGGGGAUUGAUUUUGGACGAAUUUAAAAACAAAACAAAACUUUGUAAACUAAAACAGAUUUUAAAACGAAUUUGGAUGAUUUGAAUGGAUGGAAGGCUAGCUAAGGGGUUCAUCUCCACACAUGUCACACUUGCAUAUAAAACGAUUUCCAAUUGCUUUUCAAUAAACCAUGAAUUCUCAACGCCCCAAGUUAAUUAGGUCCGCUUAAAUUAACCCUCAGAUUUUCCUUAAGUUAUUGAAUUGGAUGAAUUGCAUACGACAACCCAAAGCAUUCCCCACAAGUCCCCUACAUGACUGCAUAAUAGAGAUACAAGCAAGAAUCAUUAAGUUCUAUGAAAACCAUAAGCAUUGACGAAGCACUUGUUACUAUGAUUGCAUGAAACUUAUGCCAAGAAUUUACUUAACACGAUUGUGAUCAACAACCUUUACUACUUGUGAAUAUAAGUUCAUAACGAUUAGGUGAAAUUCCCUUAUAUCCUAGCAUCAAAUUCAUGCAUGCAAACUAAGUGUCGACCCUCAAUCAACAUACAAGAAUAAGUUUUAAUUCACAUAGAUAAGCAAAUUGAACUCACAACUUAUGAAACGCAAUUAGAAGUAAUCAAAUCAUAUAUAACAAGCAUUAAACAUGGUUUCAAAUCCCCCCCUAGCCAAGGGGGGUUUAGUUCCUCAUACUCGCAAAUAAACAAAGAUAAAUAAAUUUAAACAUUAAAACAAAGAUAGAAAACACCUAGAAACGCUCCACAAUCCAAGCUCCUUGAAUGGCAUGCACGGCUCCAAGUUGUCUUCCUUCUUCUCCUUGCAAACUCACGGCACACAAGGUAUGUUUGGGUGAAUGGUGUAGUGAAAAUAUGGUAGAGGAUGGUGACUAAAUGGUGCAGCAAAGGGUGGUAUUUAUAGGCUGAAAUUCGCAGCCCCUAUGUAGCAAAGGAAAAGGAUUUAAAAGCCUAAUUUGUAUAGGAUAAUAACACACAAUCCUUGAAGGAAAAGGCUAAGGCUUUUAGAAACCAAGGGGGAAAGGAAUAAUCAGGUUUCUAGGAGUCCUAGAAAGGUUUGGGGCGUCACUUUUGUAGGAGAAGGGAUAAGGCCUUCUAGAAAGGUUAUUUUGUGGCUGAUUUCUAGAAAAACAAGGGAUAAGGUGUGGCACCUUUGUAGGAAAGGAUUAGGUCUUCUAGAAAUCCCAUUUUAAGCAUCCUAAUCUAGUUAGAAACCCUCCUAAGUGGCUGGAAUGUGGAUAAUUUAGGAUUAGGAUAAGAUAAGAUAGGAUAAGGUUUGUUUGGAUAAGAUAAGCUAAGAUAAGGUUAUGGAUGAGGUUUUGGAUAAGAUCCUUCUCUUGAGUUGAUUCUUUGGCUUUAAUUCUUCUUCUUCAUGUAGGAAUACUUGCUUGAGUAGGAAACUUCAUUCGUCUAGGAAUCCAUCUUCAAUUAGGACUCCUACAUUGAUUAGGAAUCCUUCUUCAUUUAGGAAUCCUUCGUUUAAGCCCUUUCCUACUUCAACUAGGAAACUUUGUAUAUUCAAUUCUUCAACUUUGAAACACCUUCCUAGCUUCAUCAAUUCCUCAAAUUCGUCCAUCCCUUGUGCUUCAUGUGCAUGAACUCCAUUCUAGCCCAAUUUUGCUCCAAAAUGCUCCAAAUUGCAUCCUUUUGCUCACUUUGUCUCUAAAACCUGAAAACACAUGAAAAUAGCUUAAAAGACUAAUUUAACCAAGAAAACACAACAUAAAUGCAUAAGAACUAACUAACUAAGGCGCAUAAAUAUGCUCCUAUCACCACACCCCAUAUGGGGCCCAAAACCCACAAACCCAAACCAUGCCCAUUGAUAGGAGCAUAUUUAUGCGCCUUAGUUAGUUAGUUCUUAUGCAUUUAUGUCGUGUUUUCUUAGUUAAGUUAGUCUUUUAAGCUAUUUUCAUGUGUUUUCAGGUUCUAAGGACAAAGUAAGCAAAAAGAUGCAAUUUGGAGCAUUUUGGAGCAAAAUUGAGCUAGAAUGGAGCUCAUGCAUGUGGAGCACAAAGAAUGGACGAAUUUGAAGGAUUGAAGAACUAGGAUUGUGUUUCAAAGUUGAAGACUUGAAGAUGCAAAGUUUCCUAAUUGAAGUGGGAAAGUGCUUAAUUGAAGAUGAAAUCCUAGUCAAACAUGGAUUCCUAGUUGAAGAUGGAUUCCUAGUUGAAGUUGGAUUCCUAGAAGAUUGAAGUUUCCUACUCAAACAAGGUUUCCUACUUGAAGAAGGGAAGUUGAAGCCAAAGAAUCAGCUCAAGUGAAGAAACCUUAUCCAAAACAUUAUCCAAACCCUAUCCUAUCCAAUCCUAUCCUAUCUUAUCCUAAUCCUAAUCCACCUAUAUUUCAGCUACUUGGGAGGAUUCCUAGCUAUAUUAGGAUGCUUAAAACCUGAUUUCUAUAAGCCUUAUCCCUUCCUACAAAGGUGCCACACCUUAUCCCUUGUUUUUCUAGAAAUCAGCCACAAAACAACCUUUCUAGAAGGCCUUAUCCCUUGUCCUACAAAAGUGACGCCCCAAACCUUUCUAGAACUUCUAGAAACCUGAUUAUUCCUUUCCCCUUUGGUUUCUAAAAGCCUUAACCUUUUCCUUCAAGGAUUGUGUGUUAUUAUCCUAUACAAAUUAGGCCUUUAAAUCCUUUUCCUUUGCUACAUAGGGGCUGCGAAUUUCAGCCUAUAAAUACCAUCCUUUGCUGCACAAUUUAGUCACCACCCUCUACCAUAUUUUCACUACACCAUUCACCCAAACAUCCCUCUUGUGCCGUGAGUUUGCAAAGGAGAAGGAAGGAGACUCUUGGAGCCGUACAUGCCAUUCAAGGAGCUUGGAUUGUUGGAGCGUUUCUAGGUGUUUUCUAUCUUUAUGUCAAUGUUUAAAUUUAUUUAUCUUUGUUUAUUCGCGAACAUGAGGAGCUAAUUUCUUUGUAGUUAGAGGGGAAUUCAAAGCCAUGAUCAUAUGUUUUAUAUGACUUGAUUUCCUCCAGUUAUGAUUUCAUAAAUCGUGAAUGUGGUUUACUUAUCUAUUUGAUUGAUAACAUGUUUAUGUAUGUUGAUUGAGGGUCGACACUUAGUUUGCAUGCAUGAAUUUGAUGCUAGAGUAUUAAGG